GGAGAAGUACUCAAGUAGGCUUAAGAGGACGGUUUGCUAAACCGUUAGGGUCUUGUUUAGGGGCCGCAUGGGUUCGAAUCCCAUCUUCUCCG
rnacentral:tRNA from 1 species